rnacentral:lncRNA from 13 species
GUUCUCUGAAUGUUCUAGCGUGGUUUGUGGCCCCACUAGAGGCAAGUGUGGGGUUAGCGAGAGUUCUAGACUUCAUGCAAAGCAAUGUUGUCUGGUAGCCAUGCCACAUGAUGGUCCUGUACAGUGAUAAGGAGGGAUAUUACACGUAAAAGCAAGACAACAUUCAGCUGUUAAAUUUAUUCCUGCUGAUUUUUGUUCUUCAUGACAGCUUGCUGAGAUUAUUUUGGAUGUUGGCGUGGUUUUGAUUUAAAUUCAACCUGCAUGUGGCUUUCAUAUCUUUAUCCAGUUUUUGAUCAAGACGAAGCCAAAGAUGCCUCCUGAAGAGAGGUCCCAUGGUGAAAUCUAUUUCAAAACACUCACUGGAUAUGGUUCACAAUGAGCUGUAAGAUACUGCAGUUUUCAGAGACUUUGAAGGCUGAAGAUGAAAAUAAAAUUCAACAUGAAGCCAUCUGCACCUGAAGAUUUCUUUGUGGGAAGGUUCUGGGGUACAUGUGCAGAUCAUGCAGGAUUGUGCAUAGGUACAUAAAUGGCAAGGUGGGUUCCUGCCUCCAUCCCCCCAUCACCUAUACCUGAUAUUUCUCC